GAUGAACGCUGGCGGCGUGCUUAACACAUGCAAGUCGAACGGGAAUUAUUUUAUUGAAACUUCGGUCGAUUUAAUUUAAUUCUAGUGGCGGACGGGUGAGUAACGCGUGGGUAACCUGCCUUAUACAGGGGGAUAACAGUCAGAAAUGGCUGCUAAUACCGCAUAAGCGCACAGAGCUGCAUGGCUCAGUGUGAAAAACUCCGGUGGUAUAAGAUGGACCCGCGUUGGAUUAGCUUGUUGGCAGGGUAACGGCCUACCAAGGCGACGAUCCAUAGCCGGCCUGGGAGGGGGAACGGCCACAUUGGGACUGAGACCCGGCCCAGACUCCUACGGGAGGCAGCAGUGGGGAAUAUUGCACAAUGGGGGAAACCCUGAUGCAGCGACGCCGCGUGAAGGAAGAAGUAUCUCGGUAUGUAAACUUCUAUCAGCAGGGAAGAUAGUGACGGUACCUGACUAAGAAGCCCCGGCUAACUACGUG
rnacentral:rRNA from 1 species